rnacentral:rRNA from 1 species
CGUCUGGAAAGGCGCGCGAUACAGGGUGACAGCCCCGUACACAAAAGCGCAUAUGCUGUGAGCUCGAUGAGUAGGGCGGGACACGUGGUAUCCUGUCUGAAUAUGGGGGGACCAUCCUCCAAGGCUAAAUACUCCUGACUGACCGAUAGUGAACCAGUACCGUGAGGGAAAGGCGAAAAGAACCCCGGCGAGGGGAGUGAAAAAGAACCUGAAACCGUGUACGUACAAGCAGUGGGAGCCCCACCACUAAGCCAGUGGUGAACUCCACAUACGCAUCCUUUGCUGAGGAUACGGUUAACGGAGCGAAAGCGACGUUCAACCGCAAAAGAAGCAGAGGGGGCUUAGUGGUGGGGUGACUGCGUACCUUUUGUAUAAUGGGUCAGCGACUUAUAUUCUGUAGCAAGGUUAACCGUAUAGGGGAGCCGGAGGGAAACCGAGUCUUAACCGGGCGUUAAGUUGCAGGGUAUAGACCCGAAACCCGGUGAUCUAGCCAUGGGCAGGUUGAAGGUUGGGUAACACUAACUGGAGGACCGAACCGACUAAUGUUGAAAAAUUAGCGGAUGACCUGUGGCUGGGGGUGAAAGGCCAAUCAAACCGGGAGAUAGCUGGUUCUCCCCGAAAGCUAUUUAGGUAGCGCCUCGUGAACUCAUCUCCGGGGGUAGAGCACUGUUUCGGCUAGGGGGUCAUCCCGACUUACCAACCCGAUGCAAACUGCGAAUACCGGAGAAUGUUAUCACGGGAGACACACGGCGGGUGCUAACGUCCGUCGUGAAGAGGGAAACAACCCAGACCGCCAGCUAAGGUCCCAAAGUCAUGGUUAAGUGGGAAACGAUGUGGGAAGGCCCAGACAGCCAGGAUGUUGGCUUAGAAGCAGCCAUCAUUUAAAGAAAGCGUAAUAGCUCACUGGUCGAGUCGGCCUGCGCGGAAGAUGUAACGGGGCUAAACCAUGCACCGAAGCUGCGGCAGCGACGCUUAUGCGUUGUUGGGUAGGGGAGCGUUCUGUAAGCCUGUGAAGGUGUGUCGUGAGGCAUGCUGGAGGUAUCAGAAGUGCGAAUGCUGACAUAAGUAACGAUAAAGCGGGUGAAAAGCCCGCUCGCCGGAAGACCAAGGGUUCCUGUCCAACGUUAAUCGGGGCAGGGUGAGUCGACCCCUAAGGCGAGGCCGAAAGGCGUAGUCGAUGGGAAACGGGUUAAUAUUCCCGUACUUGGUGUUACUGCGAAGGGGGGACGGAGAAGGCUAUGUUGGCCGGGCGACGGUUGUCCCGGUUUAAGCGUGUAGGUGUGUGUUCCAGGUAAAUCCGGUUCACUUUAACACUGAGGCGUGACGACGAGGCACUACGGUGCUGAAGCAACAAAUGCCCUGCUUCCAGGAAAAGCCUCUAAGCAUCAGGUAACAU